rnacentral:rRNA from 1 species
AUUGAACGCUGGCGGCAUGCUUUACACAUGCAAGUCGAACGGUAACAGGCCGCAAGGUGCUGACGAGUGGCGAACGGGUGAGUAAUGCAUCGGAACGUGCCCAGUCGUGGGGGAUAACUACUCGAAAGAGUAGCUAAUACCGCAUACGAUCUAUGGAUGAAAGCGGGGGACCGUAAGGCCUCGCGCGAUUGGAGCGGCCGAUGUCAGAUUAGGUAGUUGGUGGGGUAAAGGCUCACCAAGCCAACGAUCUGUAGCUGGUCUGAGAGGACGACCAGCCACACUGGAACUGAGACACGGCCCAGACUCCUACGGGAGGCAGCAGUGGGGAAUUUUGGACAAUGGGCGAAAGCCUGAUCCAGCAAUGCCGCGUGCAGGAAGAAGGCCUUCGGGUUGUAAACUGCUUUUGUACGGAACGAAACGGCUCUGGUUAAUACCCGGGGCUAAUGACGGUACCGUAAGAAUAAGCACCGGCUAACUACGUG